GGCGCUUUGGCUUUGGCAGCGGUCCAAGUUCCUUGGAACAGGACGUCACAGAGGGUGAGAAUCCCGUACGUGGUCGCUGGCUAUUGCCGUGUAAAGCCCCUUCGACGAGUCGAGUUGUUUGGGAAUGCAGCUCUAAAUGGGAGGUACAUUUCUUCUAAAGCUAAAUAUUGGCCAGAGACCGAUAGCGCACAAGUAGAGUGAUCGAAAGAUGAAAAGCACUUUGGAAAGAGAGUCAAACAGCACGUGAAAUUGUUGAAAGGGAAGCGCUUGCAGCCAGACUUGCUUACAGUUGCUCAUCCGGGUUUCUACCCGGUGCACUCUUCUGUAGGCAGGCCAGCAUCAGUUUGGGCGGUAGGAUAAAGGUCUCUGUCACGUACCUCCUUUCGGGGAGGCCUUAUAGGGGAGACGACAUACUACCAGCCUGGACUGAGGUCCGCGCAUCUGCUAGGAUGCUGGCGUAAUGGCUGUAAGCGGCCCGUCU
rnacentral:rRNA from 1 species